GUUGUCACAUCAGCUGUACUCUUAAUAGUCCUCAGGCAGAAUCAUUUCUACACGGAAUCCGCAACAUGAAAAGGAUGGAGAGUUGGCUUCACUGUUGGCUGGUCUUGUCUUUGGUGUCUCAAAACGUUACCUGGCAGAAUCCGGGUUGCAAUAAGGGUUCAGGUCAGGGUUUAGAUCAAGAUCAAAUGUAUACACAGGCAAUGGAGGGAGGGUAACCAUUUUUUUUGCAUGAUCCUAAAAACACCACAUGGUGUGUUAAUAACGUGAUGAACAACAGACCCAAAGUCGAACAUAAUCGAAAAGCGAUUAAGAACAUUGCGCAGGUUCUCGAGGACACAGAGGUGACUGGGUCUACAUUCCUGUCUUUCAACAACUCGGUGGCCUUCCUGCACAAACCAAAGGGCCCAUUCAACGGCAUUGAGCUUUAUGCUAGUGAUAAUGAGGUAAAGUCAAGCGUCUGUCAACAAUGGCAAAGUGAGGGUUUGACUGCCGAGAGAGCUCGUUGCUGGAUCAGAAAAAAACAUCGUUUUCCACAUGCUCACCUGGCCUGAAGCAAACUGGGUCAGAGACUUUACUUUUAUGUGUAAUUCUCUAAUAAAAAAUCUGAAUAAAUGAA